rnacentral:rRNA from 1 species
UACGGAGGGUGCAAGCCUUAAUCGGAUUUAUUGGGCGUAAAGGGCGCGUAGGCUGGCAUGUAAGUCAGAUGUGAAAUUCCAGAGCUCAACUCCGGAACAGCAUUUGAAACUGUGUGUCUAGAGGGUAGGCGGAGAAAAUAGAAUUCCACAAGUAGCGGUGAAAUGCGUAGAUAUGUGGAAGAAUACCAGUGGCGAAGGCGACUUCCUGGCCUGUUCUUGACGCUGAGGCGCGAAAGCUAGGGGAGCAAACGGG